rnacentral:rRNA from 1 species
UUAAGUCUGGGGAUACCAUUUGGAAACAGAUGCUAAUACCGGAUAAAAGCUACUUUCGCAUGAAAGAAGUUUAAAAGGCGGCGUAAAGCUGUCGCUAAAGGGAUGGGACCUGCGAUGCAUUAGCUAGUUGGUAAGGUAACGGCUUACCAAGGCGAUGAUGCAUAGCCGAGUUGAGAGACUGAUCGGCCACAGUUGGGACUGAGACACGGACCCAAAACUCCGUACGGGAGGCAGCAGUAGGGAAUCUUCCACAAUGGACGAAAGUCUGAUGGAGCAACGCCGCGUGAGUGAAGAAGGUUUUCGGAUCGUAAAAGCUCUGUUGUUGGUGAAGAAGGAUAGAGGUAGUAACUGGCCUUUAUUUGACGGUAAUCAACCAGAAAGUCACGGCUAACUACGUGCCAGCAGCCGCGGUAAU